UACGUAGGGGGCAAGCGUUGUCCGGAAUCAUUGGGCGUAAAGCGCGCGUAGGCGGCCCGGUAAGUCCGCUCUGAAAGUCCAGGGCUCAACCCUGGAAAGCGGGUGGAUACUGCCGGGCUAGAGUACGGAAGAGGCGAGUGGAAUUCCUGGUGUAGCGGUGGAAUGCGCAGAUAUCAGGAGGAACACCUAUAGCGAAGGCAGCUCGCUGGGACGUUACUGACGCUGAGGCGCGAAAGCGUGGGGAGCGAACAGG
rnacentral:rRNA from 1 species